UGUAGUCAGUGCCGAUACACUGGGGAUUAUGUAAAGGGGAAGAGGACAGAUGGCCACCAGAGUAGUGGGUCAGCCAAGAGAGUGGCUUGGUUGCAAGCUGGACUCAGGACAGGGGAGCCACACUCAGGCCCGGAACCUCCAUAUGGUCUCAAGUCUUGGCUUCGUUGAAACAUCAGCAGAUCCCUUCAGCUUUCUCUCCUUCUGUCUACAUCCAGAUUGAGGUCUCAUUAUAUAACUCCAGCUGGCUUGGAACAGAGAUCUACCCUGCCUCAUGAGCGCUGUGAUUAAAGGGCUCACCAGGCUUCCUGCACCCCAAGGCUGGCCCUUUAAGAAUCCUGAGCCCUAGGACAUGUUCUAAGCAGGUGGUCCUCAAAUCUCCGAACAGCAGUAGCAGCUUCACCUAGGAACCUGUUUGAAGGGCAGAUGUUCAGAUUCCCAACCCAA